UUUUUUUUUUCUUUGGGCAUGUCCUGGCACACAAGAAUUAAAAAAAAAAUUAAUCCCACACGACAGGUAGUUUUUUUUUUGUUUUUUUGUUUCUACGGGCGUGUCUUAUCCCUCCCCCUCCCCCCCAAAGUCCUCUGUCUAGUCUGAAUUAUCAAGCAAACGUCACCAUAUUAAUUUUGGGUCUCUCUUCUUCCUCUCUUGUUGAUCCAUCUCGAUGAGUUUUUAUAAUUCAUUAUAAAUGCAACGACGAUGGUUUAAAAAAAAACAAAAACGGAUGGAGAGAAUUUCUUGACUUUGGUUCAGCUUUUCGGUUUCUUCGGCGGCCACAUAAUUAUUUAUUUCAUCAGAUUACCUCUCUUUUCCUUGGAACUGACCUCCGUCUCUGAUUUUUCUUCUUCUCGAAAAAAACAAAAUUAAUUGAAAAAAAAAAACUGCUUUUCUCUUCGUUUAAUAUUUUCUAUAUGGAAAGAUGGCAUCGUGUUCUCUCUUGUUUUCUUUCUAUUCGCUCUCAGAAAUAAGAAAAAAAAAAUUGCUGACAGUGUUUUGUUUUUUUGUAAUUACCCAUGUAUUUACUGUAUAUAUUGAAAAAGGUUACACUUGUGCAAAAUAUAUCGUGAAUUGACACUGUGAUUGUGAAUCUCAACCACCGCACCCGGGGUUUGAGGGGUGGGGGGUGCCGGAAAAGGACGCACACACACACCAUAUGUCGGAGCCAAUUGAACUUAAUUCAACCACUUCCGGCGGCUGUUAAAAUACCUCGUUUCCUUCCCAUUCCCCCACAUAAAACUCGAGAAGGGGAAAGGUCCUGGGAGAGGAAACAAGUCAAACAAUUUCCAAAAAUUGAAGACUGCAAGUACUCAACCCUUUACAACCAGAAGGGAAAUAGAUGAUGGAACGAGACAGAAUUGAUAAAUGUCAAACGAUUGAAAGAUUCAAUCGAAAACAGUUUUCUUUAAAGGAAUAAUCGAUAUAUCCUAAUAGAUAAUAUGAAUGAAUUUAUUUUUUUUUUUAAAGAAGCCCGUUGGCUACACACACACACACACCAUGGCCAUGACAUAUGGUUCUCGUACAAAGUUUUGGAGAAAGGAGACGAACCACUUCCGGUGGGGCCUUUUAGCUGCCAGUCUGGCUCCAUUGCUGCCCCCGCAUGUUCACAACCCCUCCUCCUUUACGGCCCCUUCCCAAUCCCCACGGUUCUCAUCUCUCUCUCUCUCUUUUUUUUUAUCCUUUAAGCUAAGAAGAAAAAAGAAAAACCGCGCGACCGGAUGUCGACCACUUUGACCCGUCCCUUUUUGGAUUCUCUCCACACACACACACACACACACAAAAAGGCAAGAUGGCGUGUCGAAACCAAACCAAAAAAGGCUUUUUUUUUGAAAAUAAUGAUAAUAAUAAAAAAGAAAUACUUAAAUAAAAAAAUAAAAAUUCAUUUGUCAUUUUGUUAUGUGCUGAAUGGGGGUUACGGAAUCGAUGGUGGUAAGAGUCGGUUCAAAGUUGCACGCCCACGCUCGUUGCCAUGGCAACACCGAUCGUCAAUUGCACAGGUUUUCUCUCUUUGUGGUCAACGCCAUUUUUUCCCACGACGCACCGUUGGUGUGAAGCCCGGAUGUGUGUGUCUCCCCCACUUUUCAUGUACACACAUGGCUGCAGAGUUUGUGUAUAGUCUUGUUACGUGUACGUUAAACCGAGACGUGCACAUCCACUUGCUUUGCGAAGAGCACAGCAGCAAUGAUUCGUUUUCCGUUUGGCAUCACAUUCAACUGAUUAAGCGGAUUCAGUUGAGCUGGUCGCAGUGAACGAAGGAAAAAGAAAAAGAGGAGUGCUGCUUGGGUUGAAACGGCGCCGUCAGUGUGUGUAUAGCCUCAAGCCUAUACAUAUACGUCACCUCACCAAAAAUCUUGACCAAACCUUUUCAGAAAAAGGCACACGGUCGCCAUCUAUUUUCUUUGAUAUACGAACGUUUUGUGAUGUGUAAACAAAUAACCAUUCCCCCCCCCCCUUCCCCCCUUUGCUUGUUGUCGCUUCCAGGAAAUGAAUUUCUUCCGUGUAGCGUCUUUUCGACGUCGAUGCGUAACAAUCGAUAUAUAAAAUCGCAGAAUUUUGUACGAGAAGACAGGUUGCAAUCUAUUUAUCUUUUAUAAUUGAUUGUAGUAAUUGAUUGAACGUAUUAUUUUGUCGUAUUGACACGUUUUUUUCUGUAAAAUUAUUGAACUGAUGACUUUAAAUUUUGAAGAGUACUGCAUUAAAAGUUCAUUGCAAACGCAGUCGAAGGAACUUGCGUUGUCGAUAGCAAAAAUUAUCACACAUUUUUAUAGUCUUCCAAAUUUGCCGCGCUUGCCUUUGAUUAUUUUGUCGGUAUGCGAGACGGGCGCCAAAAUGUGAUUACUCUGUGGUUUAUUGUUAAGCUGCUGAUUCAGCUGGUUAACCUUUUAAUCUUCCAAAAUGCAGGGCAACAAGUACAUCACUUUUUCUUGUUUCAAAUAUAGUUUUGCCACCACAGACGUAGGAAUGAUAGUCGUCUGCUGUUUUCCUUCGACGGGCAGAAUGAAAGAAUUCGGAUUGGUUAUGAUAUUUAGAACAAGCAAACAUUAUCUAAAGCAUGCAAUUUGCAAUGUCCAGCACUAUUAUGCAAGUGUGUUAGCAGCUGGCAUUUGAGGGCGUCAGAGUAAAAAGACCAAGUCUCUUAGCUUUGCUCACCGUUGUUUGUCUAUUCUAGUGCCAUCUAGUGGACGAAAUAUAAUGUCUACAUUUACGACAUAUUGCCAACAGGAGACAUAAUUAAACCCUUGCUAUCUUUUGCAAAAUUUUUUAAAUGGGAAAAAUUAAUUCGGCGAAUUUCCAAACUGACUUCAUUUACCAAAAUUGGGUGGGACUGCAGAAUCAAAAUAUCUUUGGUUGCCCUGAUCUUGGCGAUAUUUUAAACAAUGGCAACCACCGGCUCGUACGAGGAUAUUUGCGUUGUAAAAAUCCUGCUAUUACAAACUAAUGUCCUUUGCAGCAUGUCUACCUAAAACGUAGCUGCUUAUUAUUAUUUAUUUUUUUUCGUUUAGUGCUACAACUGUUUUCUAUGUGAGUGACAGACUGUCUGCUUUGACUUUACAAAAUUUCAUUGUUUUCCACUGGGAGAUGUAUUGCUCUAACACAUUCAUGCUAAGCUUUAAGAUGGAUUACUAGGCCAAAAAAGAAUGCCUGACGUAGCCGUGUUGAUGAGCCUUUUGCCUCCUCAAAAUAGGAACGUCUGUCGUAUAAAUAGCUCAGCCCUAAAUGCGACGUAAAUAAUAUGUUUUUAUAUAUUUAUAUUAGCAGCAAGGAGUCAAGCAAAAAUUCAGAACAAAGAAGUAUUCUACACUUAAACUCUUAUUCCUAAGAUUUCGUGUUGAGUUUGAAGCACUUGUUUUUUUUUUCGACCAUUGCGUUCACAUUGCCUUCUUUUGAUUAAAUAGUAAUGCCAUUUUGUGUUUGAUUUACGCCGAAUUGAUGAUAAAUUAACUAAAUCAAAAUUUCUCUGUUGAUAGAUAGAAAUAGAAAUGAUGUUAGUUUUUGUUGGCUUUCAAUUGAAGGCCUUGUGAAAAGCAUGUUCCAACGGCUGGAAAAGAUCGAGGGCGCCAUUGGUGCUAAAUAAAAGGAAAACAAAACUGCCUUACGAGCGAAGUAUAUAAUUUCGUACCAGGUGCUCCAAUUUGACUUCGUCGAAACAUCGUUACUUCGUCGAAAUAUCGUUACUUCUUCACCUUUCUUCUCCUUCAGGUAACAAUGAUAAUUUACCAGUGGCCCGGAAGUGGUAGGGCUUUUCCUGUGAUCACCUUGUUCUCUUCCAUGUCAUGGGGUGUAAAGUUCGUGUGCCAUCCGCCUUCUAGUAAGAAUUAUGGGAGAGAAAACGACGCACGAUGAAUUUUAUGACCGGAACAACGGUUCACUUUGCCCGAACACAGGUUACCAACUGAAAUCUUGGAAGAUUGCCAAAAGGGAGAGCUAAAAAACGACUCCCGGGCUUUGCUAGUUUCCUGAAAGCCAUACGAAUACAUAUAAAGGGCAAAAGGGUUCGGAGGUAGAUGUGGUGGAUCGAGGAGUAGACAUGAAAAAUUGAAAAUCGUGGUCGUAUGGGCAAAGGUAGAUGACGCAUGGAAAAGAUGACUAGAGAUAAAUUGGAAAGAGGAUGCUAAAACUAAAUAAAUAUGUUUAUGGUACAACCCCGUGUGAUAUGGGAAUAGUAAUGUAUUUUCGCUGAGGAGACUGUACAGUGCAGUUGUGAAACCUGUAAGGGACGGGUUGAGAGAGGAAACGGUUGUUUUUAUUCUAGAGUACAGAUAUGGGCCAUGUCACUCGUGGCGUUCGUUGCGGACUUUUGGAGAACCCUCUCAGGUCCUGCUCUAAAAAGACAUUCACGGUUUUCAUGUUUUACCAGUAAAUAGUGAGCUCGUUAUUGCGUCAGAAAUUUCAGAAAGAAACGAAAAUAAACAUUUUUAAAAGAAAUACGUACGUAAUGGUUAAAGAACAGUAAUAUGAUAAAAAGAAUGAAAUAGUAAAAUCGCUGGUUUAAUCAGAAAAACAACCAAUUAAUCGAAACAAGCGUUUUAUUUUGAUUGUUCCGUGUGAUUUUUAUCGAACUUCUAGAAAUGUCAUUUUUUGCAAAUUUUGAGAAAAGUGGGAAGAGUGUGGCCUUCCCACUUUUGUCAAAAUCUGCGAAAAGUGACAUCUCACGAAAUUUGACAAAAAGCAUACGAGAUAACCCAAAUUGAACGUUGAUUUCGAUUAAAUUGUUGGUUUUCUCGCUAAACCACCUGUUAAAAUACAAAACAAAGUGCUGCUCUUAAACUUAGUUUUUGGGUUUCUCUGAUUCCAAGUGUUUGCGAAUCUGAUUCCCUUUUAUCCAAAAAUCGAUUAAUUAUGUGGAAAACUAAUGUUUUAUUCUGAAUUAGCUUCUCAUUUUGGUUGUAAUAGGUUAAGUUUUAUUGAAUUCCUAGUCAAAAUUCUAAGCCGAUUUUGUAAACAAAAAGUCGGGCUUAAAAUGUCGAGCUUAAUUAAUCAAGUAAAACUAGAUAUCUUAUCAAUAGAUGGCUACACUGUUUGGUGGGUCGUCUGCAGUAGAAAUUGACGUUUCAUCAGAUGUAGCCUAGUUGUUAGUGAUUCGAGACGUGUUAAGCGAGGAGUAAAAAAAUGUACAGUGCGUUCUGUUUUAAAAAUUCUUUUGGCUACUCGGUAAUACACUGAAAUUUGCCAUUAUUUUGUACCAACCUGAGGGACACUUUUUCACGACACACACGAUUGUUUGAAAGUUGAUUUUUCACUAGACGUCAUUUGAAUGUUCAGUUCCUAUCCACAGCCCCCAGUCCUACAGUGUGCAAAAAUAGAAAGUUGAAAUAAUCUACUCAUUGUGCUAUCCUGCACAAUGCAAGAUUCAUGACUACUCAGUAUUAAAAUGCUCGGAGGAAUUUUGCUUAAGGAAAUUUGCAGCUGUGGACUUUAUUUAGAUGACUCUUGUAUCGGAAAUAUUUUCCUUAAUAGGAUGUCUUGAUGCUAAUGAAGUGUCAUUGGAAAGAUUGUAAUAAGAUUUUUAGCAGGAGAAACCUAAAGUUGGAGGACAAUAAAUUUGUUUCGUGUUACUAGUUUUGUAAAACAAAUGUGGAGAUUGAUUCCAAAUCUUCAGCUUUCCAAGCAGACACCCAUCCACAAAGCCAUGGGCGAUAGAUGAUAUUCACAGUGGGCACUACUGCGUUGUAAAUUGGUGUCACUUUUACAAAGCCAAACAGAUUUUGAUCAAGUGUCUACUGUGAAAAAGAUCAUGUGUCUCCAACGAAAAUGGCUCUCCCCAGUGUGUCAUUCUGAUGCAGAACUCCUGAAAUCUAGUUGAACGUUUUGAACCAUCUCAGGACAAAGUUCAAGUUCUAGUUUGCAGCGAUAUUAGAAAAGUAGUCGCUUUGUGGAGUUUCUUCGCCAUCCAGUGAAUCAAUCGGAAUGAUGUUCACUUCCUCGACGUCAUUGCUCGCGUAAUUUAAUAACUUUGUGCUUCGAAAUAAGAUGUUAUAUCGAUCGGUAAAGGUAAAUCGGAAAAGAGUAUUUUUCCUUCACAUAAGAACAGAAAUUUAAGCAUUAGCAAGUCAUCCGCAUCCAAACAGAUCAAACACACGAGGUAUUCCGCCUCAUCCGGCAACUUACCAUCCAGCAACGCAUCCAUCAACAGAAUGUUUAUGGAUCAAUGGUUAUAUAUUGUCGUCAUAAUGAAUUGAAGGUCAGUGGUGGUCAUGGUGGUUCACCCACAUGAGAGUGAACUGGUUGAACUAAAUAGAUUUAUGUUGAUCAUU
rnacentral:lncRNA from 1 species